rnacentral:rRNA from 1 species
AUUGAACGCUGGCGGCAGGCUUAACACAUGCAAGUCGAGCGGGCGAGGUUGCUUCGGUAACUGAGCUAGCGGCGGACGGGUGAGUAAUGCUUAGGAAUCUGCCUAUUAGUGGGGGACAACACCCCGAAAGGAAUGCUAAUACCGCAUACGCCCUACGGGGGAAAGCAGGGGAUCUUCGGACCUUGCGCUAAUAGAUGAGCCUAAGUCAGAUUAGCUAGUUGGUGGGGUAAAGGCCUACCAAGGCGACGAUCUGUAGCGGGUCUGAGAGGAUGAUCCGCCACACUGGGACUGAGACACGGCCCAGACUCCUACGGGAGGCAGCAGUGGGGAAUAUUGGACAAUGGGCGCAAGCCUGAUCCAGCCAUGCCGCGUGUGUGAAGAAGGCCUUUUGGUUGUAAAGCACUUUAAGCGAGGAGGAGGCUACUUGGAUUAAUACUUUAGGAUAGUGGACGUUACUCGCAGAAUAAGCACCGGCUAACUCUGUGCCAGCAGCCGCCGUAA